GCCCGGAUAGCUCAGUCGGUAGAGCAGGGGAUUGAAAAUCCCCGUGUUCUUGGUUCGAUUCCGAGUCCGGGCACCA
rnacentral:tRNA from 5 species